AUAUUAAAGUUGUUGCAGUUAAAAAGCUCGUAGUUGAAUUUCGGGAUCAAGUCGUCGGUCGUGCUCAGGUACGUACUGGCGUCAUUGAUUUCUCCCUUCUGACGAACCAUGAUGUCAUUAAUUUGGUGUUAUGGGAAAUCAGGACUGUUACUUUGAAAAAAUUAGAGUGUUUAAAGCAGGCUCACGCUUGAAUACAUUAGCAUGGAAUAAUGAAAUAGGACGUUCGAUCCUAUUUUGUUGGUUUUAGGAUCAACGUAAUGAUUAAUAGGGAUAGUUGGGGGCAUUAGUAUUCAAUUGUCAGAGGUGAAAUUCUUGGAUUUAUUGAAGACUAACUACUGCGAAAGCAUUUGCCAAGGAUGUUUUCAUUAAUCAAGAACGAAAGUUAGGGGAUCGAAGACGAUCAGAUACCGUCGUAGUCUUAACCAUAAACUAUGCCGACUAGGGAUCGGAUGAUGUUAAUUUUUUAAUGACUCAUUCGG
rnacentral:rRNA from 1 species